rnacentral:rRNA from 1 species
UACGGAGGGUGCAAGCGUUGUCCGGAAUCACUGGGCGUAAAGGGUGCGUAGGCGGCCCUGUAAGUAUGGUGUGAAAUCUCCCGGCUUAACUGGGAGGGUGCGCUAUAGACUGCGGGGCUCGAGUGUGGGAGAGGAAAGUGGAAUUCCUGGUGUAGCGGUGAAAUGCGUAGAUAUCAGGAGGAACACCGGUGGUGUAAACGGCUUUCUGGACCAUAACUGACGCUGAGGCACGAAAGCGUGGGUAGCAAACAGG